GAGUUUGAUCCUGGCUCAGAUUGAACGCUGGCGGCAUGCCUUACACAUGCAAGUCGAACGGUAACAGGUCUUCGGAUGCUGACGAGUGGCGAACGGGUGAGUAAUACAUCGGAACGUGCCCAGACGUGGGGGGAUAACGAGGCGAAAGCUUUGCUAAUACCGCAUACGAUCUAAGGAUGAAAGCAGGGGACCGCAAGGCCUUGCGCGUUUGGAGCGGCCGAUGGCAGAUUAGGUAGUUGGUGGGAUAAAAGCUUACCAAGCCGACGAUCUGUAGCUGGUCUGAGAGGACGACCAGCCACACUGGGACUGAGACACGGCCCAGACUCCUACGGGAGGCAGCAGUGGGGAAUUUUGGACAAUGGGCGAAAGCCUGAUCCAGCAAUGCCGCGUGCAGGAUGAAGGCCUUCGGUUGUAACUGCUUUGUACGGACGAAAGGACGUCUGGCUAAUACCUGGGCGACAUGACGGUACC
rnacentral:rRNA from 1 species